AUUGAACGCUGGCGGCAGGCCUAACACAUGCAAGUCGAACGAGUGGCGGACGGGUGAGUAAUGUCUGGGAACCUGCCUGAUGGAGGGGGAUAACUACUGGAAACGGUAGCUAAUACCGCAUACAAUCAGAUGUGCCCAGAUGGGUUUAGCUUGUUGGUGGGGUAUCGGCUCACCAAGGCGACGUUCCCGAGCUGGUCUUAGAGGAUGACCAACCACACUGAACCUUAGACACGGUCCAGACUCCUACGGGAGGCAGCAGUGGGGAAUAUUGCACAAUGGGCUCAAGCCUUAUGCAGCCGUGCGGCUUGUAUGAAGAAGGCCUUCGGGUUGUAAAGUACUUUCAGCGUGGAGGCGUUACCCGCAGAAGAAGCACCGGCUAACUCCGUGCCAGCAGCCGCGGUAAUUC
rnacentral:rRNA from 1 species